CAUUGAAACAUUGGUUCCUGUGCAAUCACUGAAGUUAAGCAACGUUGAACAUGGUUAGUACCUAGGUGAGUAACCACUUGGGAAUACCAGGUGCUGUAAG